AUGAAGCACAUGGUACGUCCAGAUCAAUUGGCUGCUGCAAAUGGGCUUGAUUGUUUCAAUUCAGUGGCGGAAAAAAUGAAUGAUGAUGAGGGGGUGAAGGCAGCAAAUAAAAUAGGUGCGACUGCAAAAACAAAGAUUGUCCACAAUCUCAUGUCAGAAAAAAAUAAGGCGGAAGAAAGUGACGGCCCAUCAAUAGAGUUUUUGGGCGUGAAGGAGCGGGCCCUAAAAAAGGGUAGAAAAGGUCAAGUAAUAAAAGAAAAAGAGGCCACGGAAUCACCUCCUGCUGAACAUAGUUUGCCAAUCUUAGGAAGUCAAAGAGGAAGAGGCCGAGGAGGAGCAGGAGGUCAUCGUGGAAGAGGUCGGGGGCAAACUAAAUCUAGCCUUAUGCAUGCUACUACUCAAUCAGUCGACAUGGGGGAUACGUCAUCAUGCAACGAUGACUAUGCUGCUCCAAUUACACGAUCAGAAGAGGAGAGAAGGCCUGCUCCAUGCGUUCGUUCACCUUAUUUUGCUGAUGGCGUCAAAAAAGUCCAAAAGGUGAACCAAGUCCAGACCACCAGCAUGCUUACUGAUGAUGAUGAGGAUGUCGCAGUUGCAAAUAUAGGUAAAUUUCUAGAUAAUCUUGUUGGACCAUCGAAUGCACAAAUUAUUCCACAGAAGUCACCGUUGAUCGAAAAAACAAGUCCAUCUACAUUUCUAACUUCAGAGGAAGAAGUGAUGGUCAAGUUCAUAUUCGAUGAGAAUUGCAUACAAGGGGAAUCUGUCAUUGCAAUGGGGCUUCAUUUUACGGAUUCGGUUGAAAUUGGUACUUGUCAGUAUAUGUGUUGUCUAAAACCCUAUGCCUGGAUAUGUACUACCGUCAUAAACCUGGUAGUUAUUCAACUGACAAAUAAACAAAGGACGAAGUACCCGGAUGGGAGGCAUAGGAUUUGGUACAUGUCGGAAUAUGCCUCGCAAAUGAUCAUUAAGAAUGAGGAAUACGAGGGAAACAAUGAACGUGUAGCAGACUUAUUCUUCAAAAAUAAAGGAUACACCGGACCAAUUGAUGCUUGUGAAGAGAUUUAUAUACCGUUCAACCACAAUAAAGAUCACUGGUUGUGCUUGAAGAUUGAUAUGGUGCAACAGGCAGCCUAUCUAUUCGACUCGAAGCCGUCUCGAAGGUUUGGCGAAGACAGGAAAAAAUGGGUGAACUACUGCUUGAAAACAUGCACGAGGUAUUGAAGCAUGCGUACGGGUCGGAUUAUGUCCAAGAUUUGAGCCUAUUUAAGGUGGACUGGCUCUCGGAACUACCCUUGCAAAUUGAUGAAGAUAAUUAUGACUGUGGGUUGUUUGUUAUAAAGUACAUGCAGAGGGCACCGUUGUUGCCUGGUUUCCAAAAGUUCGAUCCAAUUGAAAGGCGCAGGUUGCUGGUAGACUUGUUGAAAGAUGUGAAUAAUAGACGUUAUUUGGAGUUUAGAAUUCAGUUUGACACGUAUAACAUGAGGGAUAGUAGAAUGCAGGCUAUACUUCAGGGUGACAAGGCUAGUAUGACUGGCAGUGCGGCUAAAAAGUGUGUUCCUUUACGCAAGAAGGUUAAAAAGUAGGGGUUGAGAGUGCUCUUCGUCAAGCGAUUUUCAUUUUAGUUUUCAAUCUGCUAGGGAGUUCUAAUGUUUCACUUUUCUUGAGCUACAUGGUUACGACUUUGUAGAUACGUGGCAUGUACGUUUUCCCUCUUUCUUAACUAUUUUGUAGGGGUGAGUCAACCAUUGUUAAGUGUGGGUGGCCUUUGAUUUGGACCUUUAUUAGUUGUAUUUGGUUAUCUAUGUUUGUACUGAAUUUCGGGUUUAGGAGGUAGGCAGCGAACUUAA